rnacentral:misc_RNA from 1 species
AGAUAGAUGGAGCGUAGCUUCGCACUGGAGGGCCUGAGAUCAUCAUCAUCAUGUUCAAAGCCAGCGGGACACUCGCAGCGCUUCUCCCUUCGCUGAGGUUUGGUGUGAACAAGACGGACUUUUUCACGAGUCUGUGGAGCAAGCCCCAGACGCGUGAUGAGCGGGUGAAGGAGUACGUGCCAGAGGUGCUGGAGGAGAGUUUCGAGCAGCAGCGCGCGGUGCUGGAGGAGAGCACGUCGCGCGAUAUUAUUGUCGAGCUGGGCAACAAGAUCCUGCAGGAGAUCGACAGCAAGAGCCCCACUCCGAGUAUCGCACCACACCUCAACAAGCUGUUGCUUGAAUACGGCGUAAAGGACGUGAUUGCGCAGCGGCCCCUGAGCUACCUGUUGUACCCCAACUCCUCCGCGCUAUCGGCUGGCGAGCAGGCACAUGAGCUCGUGUCUAGUUUUCCAGACAACUUCCGUGCGAUGAUUGAAGAGGUGGAGCGCAAUGGCUGCUCCGCCAAAACAGCUGUCCACGCGUCUGCCGCGCCAGAAGUCCAUGUGCCCAAGGCAGCAUCUUCGGUAGCAGCGGUGGGGCACGAGGCCACGUCAAGCGUGCAAGUUGCUGAUGGCACGUCGGCGUCCGGAGAGGAGGUGGCGCCCACUGAAGCUGGUGGACGGACCCCUGGCGACAGCGAGGCGUCCUCGCCGUCGCAGCAGCGUGCAGACGGUGUGAUUAUGGCAUCCAAGGACGAAUAUGAGCCGAUGGAUAUCACAAUGUUCGUUAAAGUGGCUGCAGGCAUGGCCAUGGCGAACCUGCACUGCGGCGACAUGCGUAACGCCGUUCGCUGCGUUGAUGCCGGAAUCUCCCACGCCAAAGAGGCAUCGCGUCUCGGCGGGCUGCUGGCACUAAAAGCGGGUUUGCUCGUGCGUCAGAAGAAGUUUGCGGAGGCGGCUGAGUGUGCAAAGUUGGCGGUCGAAGCCUCUGGAAAUGUACAGGGUUACCUUCAUGGCGCCUACGCGCUGCACAAGCUGGACCGUCCGGAGGAGGCGGUGGCGCUGCUCGAGCGGGGGCGCGAGGACCACCCCAUGAACACGCAGUUCGAGGCCCAGAUCGAGGCCAUUCAAAGGGAGCUCAAGCUCGCGCUCCCGGCAUCUUCCUCUUCUUCAUCGGCAAGCAAGGACGCAGCCCAAGAAGCGCUUCCUGCUAAGUGAUCCUCCGCCAAGCGUAGCAUGUGCGUCAGCGUUUGUCUGUGCAUGUGUGUGUGCGGAAAGGUGUGGGGGUGAGAAAGGGAAGAUAGACCCUUGCCAAGGUAAGACCCCCUCCCCUCCUUUCUUCUGUUCCCUCAAGCUAGCGGAAGCGCUGUGAAACGUGCAUCUCCCCGUGAGCCUGUUCACAGGUCCUCUGGUUUGCUUGUCAAUGUGGAGACGGUGGCGCUUGCGUCGCCGUGGUGUUGUGAUGGUCGACGUAUCACCCCCUACACCGAAAAAAAAGCGCAUGAUGCAGAGCUGUCGGCAUGGAAGAUGUUUUUUCGACCAUGUCCUUCUCCACUCACUUCACCCCGCUUCCUGAGCACCACGAGUAGAGAGGGAGAAACUGGUGCGCGACUUCUCCCCUUUAUCGGUGCAUGCGCUGCCUGUCAUUGGCUGUUUCACGUACCAGCAGUACCAAAAAAUAAAAACAAAAAAAAACGCAUACCACGUCGAUGUGACACUGAAGUCAACCAUGAUCCCGCGCGCUUGUACCGUUCACGGCGGCUCUCUGUUCUUUCGCCUUCGCCUUUCAUCCCCUUCCACCCCCUCCCCCCUCACCAUCUCUGCGCGAAG